GGGCCACAAAGUGGAAACACAGUUACUAGUACAACUGUUGCUAGCCAGUGGUCUAAAUGAGUUACUCCAGGUUGCAGUCAACACAAGCUAAGGACACUCACUACAUGUAUAUACUACAACAACACAGCAUUGGAACACACCCCUCACCCCGGAGAUAAAGCCAGUAUCCAUUUGUAAAAACAAAAUAUUCCCUUACAACGGAAGUUGCCACAAUCCAUGGUAAUCCAUGGUAUAAAAGAAGGAAGUCAGCUCCACAACUGCUAUAUACAACUGUUGCUAGCCAGUGGUCAGUCAGUGUAAAUGAGUUACUCCAGGUUGCAAGCUAAGGAUACCACUACCAACACAGCAUUGAAACACACAUCCUCCCAAGAGAAAGAUCGCUAAAUGAAUUCACAUACCUUGAAGCCUUUUGUGUGCAGUAACGAUCAUCCUGGAAUAAUGGACACGACCUCAACACAACCAUCGAUAGAGCUAGAGCUAGAGCCAGAGCCAUCCAAAGAAGCAGAAGAUGGAUCCA